ensembl:lncRNA
CAGGAUCCAAGGGAGCGCUUCAGACACUUUGUUAAAUAUGCAUGGAGUGCUCCUGCACCCAAAAGUUAACCGCACUGCAAAGUAGAACGCCUCCCACCGGAUCCAGGAGAGAUGCCAUUGAGUCAGGAUUUCAUUCUGAUGUUUGGAGAGGAUGUAUCAGGCAAGCUUCCGGAGAGGUGGCAAACUACAAUCAAGAAAAACAUAAUCCAACGAUGCUGAAAGCUUCCAUCCAACAGUAGGCUUAAGGAACAUCUGCUGGCAGCUGAUCCGCCUGAGAAUCCCACUGAAGCCGAUCUUGACUUUUGUUUGGACAGUGACUUGUCUUGCAGAUGCACCUUAUUCCACCUUCUGCUCAAGGUUGUAAAAAAACAGGAAAGGUGUCUGCAUCCCAACCAAAGAAGCAUUUUGUGGCAUUCAAGAAGACUGGAACAAACAUCCAAGAGCACCGUGAUGCCAUCACUACGAGUACUCCACCCUACCUCCUGAUAUUUCGAGCAAGGAAGAAUGUGAUCCACCAGUUCUUCACCCUUGACAAGAAUUCCAUACCCCACAGGUCAACCUCUUCUCUUGGUGCUUUUUGAUGAACUGUUCAAGGCACAUAAAACGCCAUGCUACACAACACGUACACGUUCAUCCAAACUGCUGUCUAAAAUAUUGAUGUUGGCAAAGUCAAAGAGUCCUUGUGUUGCCAAAGUUCAUGGUUACUGGAAAUAUAUUCGCCUUAAAUGUGCGCAGACUGGAUGUGAGUGUUUGGUACUUUUUUCAGGUUUUAGGAAACAUUUACACACCAAACAAACAGUAUAUUGACCAAGAAGUUCACACUGAUGUUAAUUUAAGCAUCGUAGGAGAGUUGAUGUAGCAUGUGAGAUGCCUGUUUUGUACGACUAAAGAUGACAAUGUAUUACUGUUUGGAAAAUUGCUGGA